GUCUGUUGCCUAUGUGAGCAGUUCUCUCGUAACCUUCAGGAAUAUUAAAACCAACGUUAUUGGGUGAACCUCUGUUCCUUAUUUGUGACUGAAGGUUCAGUAAAUGAUGGAACAUUUUGUUCUUUUGUUUCAUUUUAAAUCGGCAUCUUUUUAAUCUAUUAAAAAAUGGUUUUCACAUGUUAACCUGAUUAAAUGGGCAUUGUUUAUUUAUCUAUCAAAAUAUGUGGAUGGCACAUUUUUCUAGCCUUAGCUGCGCUGUAACAAUAAGUACUGUUUAUCCAUUGUUGUUUCUUUAAUAUAUUCAUUUCUUCCCGAGGUUUCUUUAUCAUUGAUGGAACAAAAUAUAUUAAGCCUUUCUCAAUCUAAUUAUUUCAAAUAUUUUGCUGGAUCUAAUUUUAAUCUUUUGAAUUCUAUUUGCAGAACACUAGGGAAACUGCCUUUUCUAUCAGGAAAUUGCCUUUGACAAAGGCCAAGAGGUACUUGGAGGAUGUUCUUGCACACAAACAGGCCAUUCCAUUCAGGCGUUUCUGUCGUGGUGUUGGGAGGACAGCUCAGGCCAAGAAUAGACACUCUAAUGGACAAGGAAGGUGGCCUGCCAAAUCUGCCAAGUUCAUUCUAGAUUUGCUCAAGAACGCAGAGAGUAAUGCUGAAGUAAGUUCAAUAAUAUCUUUAAAAUGUAUUUUUACAAACAUUUCUUUUUGCAUUUAUAUGCUCAUUUGAUUUGUAAUUGAUCCUUUCAGGUGAAAGGUUUGGAUAUUGAUGCUCUUUACGUUUCUCAUAUCCAAGUUAAUCAAGCACAGAAGCAAAGACGUCGAACAUACAGAGCCCAUGGAAGAAUUAACCGUAAGUUUAUCUCGAAAUUUGUUUUAAUUGAUUGUUAUUUGUUGUGUUUUGUUAUUGAUGUGAUAUUUUUUUGCAGCUUACAUGUCAUCUCCAUGCCACAUAGAGUUGGUAUUAUCUGAAAAGGAAGAGGCGGUCAAGAAAGAGGUAUUUGGUUCAUCCUUCAAUUGUUGAUUUUCCUUUUUCUUUAUUAGAUGUUUAAUUUAAUUUUUGUUUGUUGUUUUUUUGUAGCCUGAGACUCAGUUGGCACCAAGCAAGAAGAAGGCUUAAGCUCUUCAUGCCUGCGCAUGUUAAUUUUAAAUCCAUUAUUUGUAUCAGAUAUUUGUAGGAAAUGUUUAAACUCUUUUCUAUUUCAUACUGUUUUGACUUAUUCAGUGAAUUUCGGAAACGUGUUGUACUGUUUUGACUUAUUCAGUGAAUUUCGGAAACGUGUUUUUUAUCUUGAUAAAAUACGGAGUCAUCAUUUAGUAAAAAUAACAUUUGAUUUUAUCAAAAUAAAACAUUGGACGUAAGUUAAAACUUUCAAUUGAAGUUUUUCUCUCGUGUAGGAUUUUCUCUUUUAUCAUUUCAGUCGUAAGCAUUAGAAACCUUUUUUUUAUUUAUUCUAAUAGAAACGGUAUGGUAUAAGUUUUAUUGCUGCAAGCUGUUUACAUCCAAUGGCUUACCAAUAAAGAUUGCUAUUGAUGGAAACUUAAUCUAAGGUUUGCAAGCAGAAUGCUUUAUUUCUUGUUAACUUAUCAAUUAUGCAAGGAUCCAUGUUCUAGGAACUAAAGUUGUAGUUAGAUAAUCAAUCAACACAUAUAUUAUACGAAUAAACGUAGACAUUAAAUGAUGGUCUAUAGUGUCAUCUAAAACCAUGUCAACUGUAAUAUAAAAAAAAUGUCACAAUUAAGUUUUGAAUUUUAUGUCUUUAACCUAAUUCCAUUUAGUACAACAUAACCGACAUUUGUCUUUAAUUGUUUAUCGCUGAACAGAUCAUGUCAUUGAAACUGUAAUGAAUCCUUAUCAACUUCUACACCUCGACCACAAGUAUAUUUGUUUUUGUAUAUCAUAAAUAAAACAAAGUUUUGCUAUGUAUCUAAAUGUUGACGCAGAUUUCAUGUCUAUUUUACUGUAGGAUAUCAUCUAUAGAUUCCAAAGAUACUGAUCCAUCAGUUUUAGUAAACGGGCAUUUCGACAGUCCGCUUGGUUCCCCUGGCGCUGGUGAUUGUGGUUCAUGUGUUGGUUGGUAGCGGCUAUAUUUGAAGUCUUUAUUGUAUUUGAAUGAUUAUAUUUAGCAAAAUCCACACCUCAUUCCCUUGAUCAUAUUAAGUUUUGUUAUAUUUUCUCCUUUUCUUACAGCAUCAAAUUCUGGAAAUUGCAAGACUAAUUGUGGACUCUGGUUGGGCUCCUCACCGCCCGAUUAUUUUCCUUUUUAACGGUGCUGAGGAACUUUUCAUGUUGGUAGGAUGUCUUACCGAUAAAUGUUGAAUUGAAACUACAUAUGACCAUUAUUCUUUUUAUAUAGAUCCUAUUAUUAUAUGUUAAUUUUUUUUUAUAUGAAUGCUUAUUUUGUGAUUGGAUUCUACCAUGUGGAAGGUGUUAUUUACUUUUGAAUCUUUGAUGCUUAAGGGUUCACAUGGGUUCAUGAAGACACAUAAAUGGCACGACACAAUAGGAGCUUUUAUAAAUGAAGACACAUAAAUGUAUAGUAUAGGCAUAGGAAUUGAUACAAUAAUUAAUUUAGUUCAUUUAUAUAUCUCAAACCUAUUUUCAACACAGGAUUUUGAUGUUUAUGUAAGUUUUUUAGAUGAAACAAGUUACCUGGUAUCUAUAGAUGCAAAAUCCUAACCGAAAUUUGAUGCUAAGGAAUGCCAUAAACCUCUGCUGAAAUUUGAUAUUUUUUAUUUAUGUGAUACUUACGUUGCACCAAUUUUUAAGUGGUGCACCAAUAUAUUCAUAGUUUUAAAAUAGGAUCUUGCUAAGAAGUGUUUUAAAAUAAGAUAAUUAAUUAAAUUUAUUUAUUUAUUUAUUAUAAUUUUUUUAUAAAAAAAAUAAAAAUAAAAACAACUUCUCCUUUUUUAAAAAAAUAUAUAAAUUUUUAAAUAACAAUUACAUUUUUUAGAAUUUGUAACAAGUGAGUCUGUACUUGUUUGUGUAUAGAUUUUUUGUGAGUCUUUAAUUGUUUGUGUAUAGAUUUUUUAUUUUUGUUUUCAUAUGAAUUGAUAAAUACCACAAUAAACUUACACACACAAUUUAUAAAGUUACGUGAUGUCCAAUUUCACUACAUCGAUAAAAAUUUAAGGAUAUUAUUUGUCCAUUUAUAAACAUAAUAACAAAAUUAGGAAAAAUUUUAUAAGAUGGUCAAAUAUAAAUAAAAUAACUAUCGUAUUAAAAUUAACUAAUAAGAAAAACAUUGACAAUUAUAUUAAAAUUUAGGAAAAAAAACUCCUUAACCAUUAAGCAAAAAAACACUCAAAAUUUACAUAAACAAAUUAAUACUUACAAAAUGUAAAUUAUAGCAAUGAUAAAGAAAACAAACACUAAAAGAAUAUUCAUUUAAAAAUGUUAAGUCCCACAAUGUUUUAAGAAAUCAAAUUUUCAUCCAUAUAUAAUUGAUCUUGUGCUAAGUAGACAUGAUCGGAGAUUCUCUUUCAUAUCUAACGGUAUGGCGUCUAAGCCACAACUGAUACAUGAUAGUGUUAAACGCAUCUAACGGUAUAGGACUGCGAUUCCACCGCAAGUGCUUACUCGCCACCACACUCAAUCGUUUCAUAAACUCAUGCCGUUCCCUCCACGUGUCAGUAUCAUCCUUCACAUAACUCUUCACAAACACAGCCAUCUUCCUCCACCUCAGCACAUCCCACAAACGGCAUGUCGUUCAACGGUCCCUCCGUAACCACCACAGGAACACACCUAAACGCAGCGCUUCACCCAAAGACAAAACGUCGUCGUUUCCGCUUGAAAUUGGGCCGUGGGCCUAGUAUCCCCGUCUCACAAAGAAAUAACAUAGAAAGAGAAUGGGUUUUAGAGCCGCUAUAUAAACUGUCAUACCAUCAUCUUCUAGUUGCCCUGAGCCCUAAUUCGUUUUCUGCAGGUUCCGCCACAACCCCGUCGUCAUGGUAAGCAUCUCUUAAUUUUUGAAUUUGACCUUAUACUUGUUUAUAACCGUCGUUUUGUAUCAGAUCUCUGAUUUGUAUACCUAACACUCAAUCUCUCUCUUUCCGUUUUUCUAAAUCUCAGGUCAAGUACUCAAGAGAGCCCGAUAAUCCCACCAAGUGUAAGUGCUUUUUCUUGUGCUUUAUUCGAUUCUGAGUUUUUGUUGCGUAUUAAGCUCAUUUAGUAUUUUUACAUUCUCACUUCAAGAUCUAAUUCUUUGUUUUUUAAAUCAUUUUUUAUGUACAGCAUGCAAGGCCAGAGGUGCUGAUCUUAGAGUUCAUUUCAAGGUAAUUUAGCUGGCAGUGACCUCAUUAAAUGAAUAAUUGUUUUUUAACUGAAUAUGAAAUAUAAUCUGAAAAUCCUGAAGAAAAAUUCAGAUUUCUGUUGUGCCGUUGUGACCAGGCCUGUCGUAACAUUCAGUUACAUAAAAUGUCCACUGUUAUUGGGCGAACCUCUGUUUAUUGGUUGUUACUGUAGGUUCAGUAAACGAUGGAAUACUUAUGUUUUGUUGUAUCAUAAGAUCGUAUGCACCCAUGUUGUGUUGUGUCAUAUGAAUGUAAAACAAAGUUUAGCUUAUUUGUGAUAUAUUUUGCAUAGGUUCCCUGUUUACCUCGAUACCUAGUUUUUAGUUUUGAAGUUUAUUGUUCCAAAAUGAGUCCAAGAAAACCUGAUGAAAAAAGCAGUUGUCACCUUUGUGAACAGUCCUCUUGUAACCUUCAGGGACGCAAAAACCCUUGUUAUUGGGUGAACCUCUGUUCCCUUUUUGUGCUUGAAGGUUCAGUAAAUGAUGGAACAUUUUGUCUAUUUGUUUCAACUCAUAUUUUAAUCUGUUUCGUUAUGUGAAUUAUAGCCCGAUUUUAUGUGUAGAGGAUAGGCUGAUUUUAUGUGGCGUUCAAGGGUCAUUGUUCCUGGUUUACCUCAUUAACCGGAAAUUUAGUUGUUAAAAAUUUGGAGAUAUUUAAAAAACCUGAUGACAAAAAGCAGUGGUCUGUUGUUGCCUUGUGAGCAGUCCUCUCGUAACAUUCAGGGAUAUGAAACUAUUGUUAUUGGGUGAGCCUCUGUUCCUUUUUUUGUGAUUGAAGGUUCAGUAAAUGAUGGGACAUUUUGUCCGUUUGUUUCAACUAAGAUUUAAACUGUUUGAUUAUGUUAAUUAUAGCCUUAUUUUAUGUGUAUAGGAUAGCCUGUUUUUAUGUAGCUUCCAAGGGUCAGUCAUUGUUUCUGGUUUACCUCAUCAACUGAAAAUUUAGUUAUUAAAAGAUUUGGAAUUGUUAAAACCUGAUGACAAAAAGCAGUGGUCUGUUGUUGACUUGUGAGCAGUCCUCUCGUAACCUUCAGGGAUAUAAAACCAUUGUUAUUGGGUGAACCUCUGUUCCAUUUUUUGUGAUUGAAGGUUCAGUAAAUGAUGGAACAUUUCUUUUGCUAUUUGCACUUUUUCCAUGAAGGUUAUAUAGCCUUAUAGGAAGUUAUUUAAAGAUUUGUAGUUGUGGAAAAACCUGAUGAUAAAAGCAGUGGUCUGUUGCCUAUGUGAGCAGUUCUCUCGUAACCUUCAGGGAUAUUAAAACCAACGUUAUUGGGUGAACCUCUGUUCCAUUUUUUGUGAUUGAAGGUUCAGUAAAUGAUGGAACAUUUCUUUUGCUAUUUUCACUUUUUCCAUGAAGGUUAUAUAGCCUUAUAGGAAGUUAUUUAAAGAUUUGUAGUUGUGGAAAAACCUGAUGAUAAAAGCAGUGGUCUGUUGCCUAUGUGAGCAGUUCUCUCGUAACCUUCAGGGAUAUUAAAACCAACGUUAUUGGGUGAACCUCUGUUCCAUUUUUUGUGAUUGAAGGUUCAGUAAAUGAUGGAACAUUUCUUUUGCUAUUUGCACUUUUUCCAUGAAGGUUAUAUAGCCUUAUAGGAAGUUAUUUAAAGAUUUGUAGUUGUGGGAAAACCUGAUGAUAAAAGCAGUGGUCUGUUGCCUAUGUGAGCAGUUCUCUCGUAACCUUCAGGGAUAUUAAAACCAACGUUAUUGGGUGAACCUCUG
rnacentral:lncRNA from 1 species